rnacentral:rRNA from 1 species
GACGAACGCUGGCGGCGUGCCUAAUACAUGCAAGUCGAACGCAGUGGGGACGGGUGCGUAACAUGUGGGUAACCUCCCAUCACAGGGGAUAACACUUGGAAACCGGUGCUAAACCGAUACUGAUGGAUGGACCCGCGGUUGAUUAGCUAGUUGGUGAGGUAACGGCUCACCAAGGCCACGAUGCAUAGCCGGCCUUAGAGGGUGAUCGGCCACACUGGGACUGAGACACGGCCCAGAAUCCUACGGGAGGCAGCAGGAGGGAAUCUUCGGCAAUGGACGAAAGUCUGACCGAGCAACGCCGCGUGAGUGAAGAAGGUUUUCGGAUCGUAAAACUCUGUUGUUAGAGAAGCGGUAUCUAACCAGAAAGCCACGGCUAACUACGUGCCAGCAGCCGCGGUAAUUC